rnacentral:rRNA from 1 species
AUUGAACGCUGGCGGCAUGCCUUACACAUGCAAGUCGAACGGCAGCAUGAUCUAGCUUGCUAGAUUGAUGGCGAGUGGCGAACGGGUGAGUAAUACAUCGGAACGUGCCCUGUAGUGGGGGAUAACUAGUCGAAAGAUUAGCUAAUACCGCAUACGACCUGAGGGUGAAAGUGGAGGACCGCAAGGCCUCAUGCUAUAGGAGCGGCCGAUGUCUGAUUAGCUAGUUGGUGAGGUAAAGGCUCACCAAGGCGACGAUCAGUAGCUGGUCUGAGAGGACGAUCAGCCACACUGGGACUGAGACACGGCCCAGACUCCUACGGGAGGCAGCAGUGGGGAAUUUUGGACAAUGGGCGAAAGCCUGAUCCAGCAAUGCCGCGUGUGUGAAGAAGGCCUUCGGGUUGUAAAGCACUUUUGUCCGGAAAGAAAUGGCUCUGGUUAAUACCUGGGGUCGAUGACGGUACCGGAAGAAUAAGGACCGGCUAACUACGUG